CCCAGACCGGGGCACGAACCCGUGUCCCCUGCAUCGGCAGGCGGGCUCUCAACCACUGCGCCACCAGGGAAGCCCAAGCUCCUUCCUCUUUAAUCCUCACCCCCAAUUUCUUGCCCUUGGGUCUCUGGCAAGGUGCCGCGUUGCAUUGGGAGAUAACGCACAACACAGUGAUUCCACUCAGGAGUGUUUGCUCAUCCUUAGAAAGUAAUCAGAUGAGAGAAAGCUGCUGGCAUGAAGAACCCAGACGGCCUGUAGAAGCAGGUGUGUUAUCAACACAGGGACCAAGGCAGCAAUGGAAGGACAUCAUUCCUGAGGCGGGGGCCAGGAUAGGAACACGACUUCUAUGCAAUUUAGAAAUGCUACAACAGAAGUCAGAAACGUGCUCUCCGGAAUGGAAUGGCCCCGUGUGGAACAGAGCUCACCUUUGCCCCACACAGCCCUGACUCACUUUGUCUUCAUUGGCUACGUGAUCUUGGAUAAGGCAUCUCGUCUCUCUGGCCCCUGUUCCCGCAUCUACAAAAUGAAGAAGUUGGUCUUGAGAACAGCUUUCAGCCUGUGCUCUAGGGAGCUCCAGAGGGCACAGAACCUGCAUGAGAUGCUACUUGAAUAAAUGGCCCUGUAGCUUAAAGCCACAAUUAAAACAAAGCCCCCACACAGCUGAUUGCUCAGGUCCCUCUGCUCUGGUUCUUCGUUAAUCCUUAGAGGAGGUCAAGCCUCCUGGUUAAGAGCCAGAUGCUCGAGCGAAUACUGGCUCUGCCACUUGCUAAGCACCAUGGCCUCAAACAUGUUGCCUGAAGUCUCCUGCUUCCCAUCUGUGAACUGCACAUACCUACCUCAUAGGCCACUGUGAUGAUUAAAUAAACUGAUACGAGAGAUAAUAAGUGUUGGCGAGGAUGUGGAGAAAAGGGAACCCCCGUGCACCGUUGGUGGGAAUGUAAAUU